AAAAAAGCGCAAGGUUUCCUACGCAACGUUCAUCGGCGUAGGGUGAGUCGGCCCCUAAGGUGAGGCAGAGAUGCGUAACUGAUGGGAAACAGGUCAAUAUUCCUGUACCGAUGUGUAGUGCGAUGUGGGGACGGAGAAGGUUAACUCGGCCAGGUGUUGGAUAUCCUGGUUCAAGCUUGUAGUCGUGGUCCUUAGGCAAAUCCGGGGACCUUAGAUGAGGAGUGUUAACGAGGCGGCUUGCCGCUGAAGUGAGCGAUACCCUGCUUCCAAGAAAAGCCACUAAGCUUCAGCUACACACGACCGUACCGCAAACCGACACUGGUGCGCGAGAUGAGUAUUCUAAGGCGCUUGAGAGAACUCUGGAGAAGGAACUCGGCAAAUUGACACCGUAACUUCGGAAGAAGGUGUGCCCUUAGUAGGUGAAAUCGUACAGAUGGAGCCCAAUGAGGCCGCAGAGAAUCGGUGGCUGCGACUGUUUACUAAAAACACAGCACUCUGCAAAGACGAAAGUCGACGUAUAGGGUGUGACGCCUGCCCGGUGCUGGAAGAUUAAAUGAUGGGGUGCAAGCUCUUGAUUGAAGUCCCAGUAAACGGCGGCCGUAACAAUAACGGUCCUAAGGUAGCGAAAUUCCUUGUCGGGUAAGUUCCGACCUGCACGAAUGGCGUAACGAUGGCCACACUGUCUCCUCCAGAGACUCAGCGAAGUUGAAAUGUUUGUGAUGAUGCAAUCUCCCCGCGGAAAGACGGAAAGACCCCAUGAACCUUUACUGUAGCUUUACAUUGGACUUUGAACAGAACUGUGUAGGAUAGGUGGGAGGCUUUGAAGCGGUGCCGCUAGGUGUCGUGGAGCCAACGUUGAAAUACCACCCUGGUGUGUUUGAGGUUCUAACCUUGGCCCGUUAUCCGGGUUGGGGACAGUGUAUGGUGGGCAAUUUGACUGGGGCGGUCUCCUCCCAAAGUGUAACGGAGGAGUUCGAAGGUACGCUAGGCACGGUCGGAAAUCGUGCUGAUAGUGCAUUGGCAUAAGCGUGCUUGACUGCGAGACGGACAUGUCGAGCAGGUACGAAAGUAGGACAAAGUGAUCCGGUGGUUCUGUAUGGAAGGGCCAUCGCUCAACGGAUAAAAGGUACUCUGGGGAUAACAGGCUGAUACCGCCCAAGAGUUCAUACCGACGGCGGUGUUUGGCACCUCGAUGUCGGCUCAUCUCAUCCUGGGGCUGUAGCCGGUCCCAAGGGUAUGGCUGUUCGCCAUUUAAAGAGGUACGUGAGCUGGGUUUAAAACGUCGUGAGACAGUUUGGUCCCUAUCUUCCGUGGGCGCUGCAAGAUUGAGAGAGCCUGCUCCUAGUACGAGAGGACCGGAGUGGACGCACCUCUGGUGCAUCGGUUGUCACGCCAGUGGCAUAGCCGAGUAGCUAAGUGCGGAAGAGAUAACCGCUGAAAGCAUCUAAGCGGGAAACUCGUCUCGAGAUGAGUCUUGCCGGGGCCUUGAGCCCCCUGAAGAGUCGUU
rnacentral:rRNA from 1 species